CAAAUGACUCUCGGCAAUGGAUAUCUCGGCUCUUGCAUCGAUGAAGAACGUAGUGAAAUGCGAUACCUGGUGUGAAUUGCAGAAUCUCGUGAACCAUUGAGUCUUUGAACGCAAGUUGUGCCCGAGGCCUUGUGGCCGAGGGCACGCCUGCUUGGGCGUCAUGG
rnacentral:rRNA from 1 species